UUCCCUAAACACCGGUGAAUGAAUCUUCUCACAAAAUAGUAAACUACAUUUUACAAUAACUUCAAGUAUUGAAACUGUUAUUUCUUUAAAAAAUUGACUUGAUUUCAACUUUCAGUUGGGUUCAAAGGCAACGUAGAAGGGCAAUACAGUCGGCAAUUUUUGACGCUACGUUUUCAUAAGUGAAACGUACAAUAAUACCAGGCAGGUUUACUUUUUACAGUAAUAACGUUAUGUUAUUGUAAUUAUUUUCUCACACUUAGAAACAUUUGUUAUUGCGUUUUGGUCAAACCAGCGUGAUAUUUAACCAAGCCCAAACGAGGGAUAGCUUUAAAAGACGUUCUUGUUUUAUGGUUUAAACCCAAUUCACAAGCUGCCAGGUACAAGAAUCACAUUGUCAUCAACAAAUAAUUAAAUUUACGUCAAAUGUUCAGCUGCAAUUGGUGAAGGUUGUGGAAGCUUUGGCCAACUCUAAUUAUAAAGUGAAGGGUGCUUGUUUGGAUGCAGUCUAUGAAUGGGUCAACCACAAGUGGACCACAGUUCAUUAUCAAGAUGUCCUGUUAUUAACGCUCUGCCUUGCACCAUUGGGCUUUUUACAUUUGUGAUGGGAGCCUCUGUUGCAAAAGCGGUAUGUUCUACUGAGACAGAAAAGAGUGUCAUCCAACCUGGAAAAAUCUAAUUGACUGGAUGUACAUUGGUCCUUGUUGGUGCUUCAUAAUUUCAACCUCGACACUUGUCAUUCUUCUUUCAAUCAUGAAUUUCUUAGUGCAUAUAACAGAUUUUCAAAAUGAGGGCAAACUAUUUUUGUUAUUGCAAUUGACGACUAAUAAAGUGUAAAAUUUACUAGACAA